rnacentral:rRNA from 1 species
UGUACCUACGGGGGGCAGCAGUGGGGAAUAUUGGGCAAUGGGCGCAAGCCUGACCCAGCAACGGCGCGUGAAGGAAGAAGGCUUUCGGGUUGUAAACUUCUUUUCUGAGGGACGAAGAAAGUGACGGUACCUCAGGAAUAAGCCACAGCUAACUACGUGCCAGCAGCCGCGGUAAUACGUAGGUGGCAAGCGUUAUCCGGAUUUAUUGGGUGUAAAGGGCGUGUAGGCGGGAAUGCAAGUCAGAUGUGAAAACUAUGGG